rnacentral:misc_RNA from 1 species
UCUCCAUUUGAAUUACUGCAGCAGCUUAUCUCCAUUUGAAUAAGGGCAGCCCCCACCAUCCCCAUCUCCAUCUCCAUCGUCCAUAUUGUUUUAUUAAUUCAUCGUGGUUGGGCCAUAUUUUGAGAACUGAGAGUAGGCAUAUCUAGUCCAAGGCCCUAGACUUGGACAUUUGAGCAGCAUCAGCAGGAGUUAAACCCAUUCUUAAUUUCUCAUCGAGGAACAGGUUACAGUUCCUAUCCUGCUUGCAAAUUUAACUUCAGUGACGGACUGAUAGGUGAUUUCUCUUUGCUAUUUGCCUAUUUGUUAUCAAUUCCAUACUUCAAGAACAGAGAUUGAUUACAAAUUUGACAUUCUUAAGAUUAGAACCAAUUAGGCGCCUCAGAAUUGCAGAAUGGCAGCAAGGCUUUCAAAGCCAUUCAGAUGGUAAUUUGGUGUAAUCAGAUAUCAUCAUCGGCAACAUUUUUAUAACCAACUAAACCAAAAAAACUCACUUACAAAUUAAUAAAAUUACAUUAAAAUAAGUAAAUGUAUGACUCAUGGCCAGUC